AGAAAUUGCACUUAACAUCUUUGGACAGAGUUCUUCCGCAUUUGAGGAGUUACCAUCUGCAUAAAGAAAACUUUGGCUUAAAGUUGGUGCAAGCAACAUCUGGAGUCCUGAAGGUUAAAGGACAAUGAAAAGAAGUACACUGUAAUUCAAAUACAGUAAGGAAAUUCGUAAAACUUGUCGACCUAGACAGGGCUUGUUUCAUCAGCUGAUUUAUCUGAUAAAAGAGGUUCUGAUAAAUGACAUUUAGAACUUGACAGCUUCUCUAGUAAGGACUCAUCGCCAGAUGAUUUCACAGUGUGAGCACAAUCAAUUUGAAGCUUGGGCCUUGUCUCUUCAUUGAUCUCAACGUCUUUAGCUUUACUCCACAGCACUAAGUAUAAGCCAGCUACUACCCCAAUUGCACCUGCCAAGCUGCAGUAGAAUACAGCAUGUCAAUUUCUUUGAAAUCCUCAAUUUGUACAUCAGACUGAAAAUUCAAGAUCAAAGUAUGAAGUUCAACCUA